rnacentral:lncRNA from 1 species
CGCGCCCAAACAUUCACAAAACAGUGCCAAUAUGAUGUAGAAAAACAAAAAAAAACGAAAACAAAUAUAAAAAGAAUUUAAAAAAAAAAACAAAAAAUGGAGUCAACAACUACCACGUCCUCGUUCGUGUCUCUGGUUUUAACUGAGUGUGGAACUUUGUGCAGAAUAUCGUCAAUUCCAUUGGACCCCCGAGUGGCGACUAAUUCUUAUUCUUGAAUACAUGACUGAUGCUGAAACACCAACUCUGAGAAUGCCACCAUGGCACAAAGGGUUAAGGAUAUAUGGCAGCUACGUCCAAGUCAUUACACAACUGAUAGUGCAAUUUGUAAAAAUAGCAUUUAAAGGCUAAAUAAAAUAAUUGUAGUAUUCAUUGAAACGAAAAAGGAGAUGUAGAACAGAUUAAAGUAAAAUAAAGGGUAUCGAAAAAAGAAUUUACAAAUAUUAGCUGCAAAUUUAGUUUCUAAUUUGAUGUACGUUUUCGCUGACACAAACUCUCAAAAAUGAACAUCGACAUAAUUAAAAAAAUUUUUUUUUCAAUUUUAUGUAGGUAUUUGAUGCAUCCGAUCUAUUUACAAUAAUUAAUUUUGAUAUUUACAUUUUUUUCUAAUAAUAAACGUAAAUAAGCGUGAUUCAAAAUUUGUACGGUCAAGAUGAAUCAAUUUGGCAACGUCGCAACUCUUGAAUGUUGGUAGCAUCGUGCUUUACAAGUUUUCCGGUAUCUCCGGCAUCUGUCGAUAGUACAAAAAAUGGCGACGCCGGCAAGCGGUAAUACCGAGAGGUUACGUUGCGCAAAUUUACUACCAAAAGAAAAGAAACGUGGAAAGAAAAUGUGCGUACGGCUGUCAAGCAAAAAAAAUUGAAUUGUGCCAAAAAGGUCGAACAAGUGGUGGAAGGACGAUGCAUCGUAGAGUUGCAAAAAUUAGCGGAUGACUUGUGGUGUCACAUGUGUUCGCAGCCUUUAUCGCUGCGAUUCAUUGAAAACGAACACCAGAUGGGCCUCGCGAGUGUUUUAAAAAUUCGUUGAAGCAUGUGUCUUGCCAUGCACGAAGUUCAUACGUGCAAAGAAACGUAUCAAACUGAGUCUGGUCGCACCAGAUACGACGUAAAUUUGAAGGCUGCAAUGGGUAAAUAAUUAGAUAACCUCAAUUUGAUGCUUAGAUUUAUACUUGCACGAUUUUUUAGUAAAUUCCGAUAGCUCAGGCUUAUUUUGUAUUAACUUUCCAUCUUAAUUUUUCUUGAGUUACGCUAUCGUUAAAUAUAAAACUUGUUACGGCAAAUAAACAUGUGAUAUUGAGAAUAGUUGUUGGUUGUCAUUUUUUUUAAUAUUUAUAUGCCGUAGCGAUUAUUGAUGUUGGCAUUGGAGAAAGUCAUCUCAACACCGCUUUGUCUGUACUGAAUGUGCCAACUAUAAAUCCUCACACUCUAAAAGCACACGAGCGGAUUGUUGGUUCUGCAAUUGAAGAUGUAGCGGGAGAAAAUUGUAGGGAGGCUAUCAGAUUAGAGAAAACGCUCACGGUUGAAAAAUAUGGCUCUUGCACAGUGUAUAAAAAGGGCUGCAUUCACGAACGAGGGAAAAGUAAAAAUUAAAGCCAGCAUCGAUGCAGCGUGGCAGACCAGAGGGCCAUUCCUAUGAUAAUCAAACAGGAAAUUCUUCACUUAUCGGUGUUCUAAGUGGAAGAAUUCUGGGGAGAGCUUUUCGAAUUAAGAUAUGCUCGUUGUGUUCUAUUGGUCACGAUCCAAAUGAUCACGAUUGCCGUCUCAACUUUCGCGGUAGUGCCAAAGCCAUGGAACCGGAUAUGGUGACAUAACUAGCUGUUCACAAUAAGGAUUUGGAAGAUGAGAACGUCAUCAUUGGAACCGUCGUAGGUGAUGCUUCAACCAUGUGUCGAAUUCGUAGAGAAUCUGCGCACGUCAUUGCCAAAGAAUCUGAUAUGAAUCACAACACCAAGUCUCUAAGCAACAAACUGUGGAAGCUCCGUUUACUCAAACAAACGAUUGAUUACCUAAAAAAAUGUUUUGGGUGCGCAAUAAAAAAAAAUAGCGGAGAUCUGGAAGCUGUAAGGCAAGCUCUAUCUAAUGUCGUUGACCAUGCCUUCGAUAAAUAUGAGAUGUGCGGAGAAUGGUGCCGUUUCAAAGAAGAUCCAGAAAAUUAUAAGCAUCAUGGCCUCCCGGAUGGAAAAGGUCUGUAUGAUACACAGCUUUACACAGAUUUGACUCAAAUUUUUGAAACUUACGCUAAUAACGCGGAAAAAAUCGCCGCCUGCAGCUCCACACAACCAAACGAAUCUUUCAACGCUAUCGUGGCGUCCAAAGCUUCGAAAGGAAGAUGUUAUGGCAGAUCGGAAUCCCUAGUUUACAGACUAGAUGCGGCAGUUUCUCAAAAAAAUGCUGGUACGAAGUACGUUGUGAACGUUAGCAAAAAACUUGCUAUCUCUCCUGGUAAACAUACUUUACUAUUUCGAGAAAAAAAAGAUGUUCGGCAUCAAGAACGAGCAUAAAAGAUAAAAACUGCAGAAUUCAAGAGGCGUCGACUUUUUCGAAAAAAAAGUCGAAAUCAAAGCCAGAACACCGUGGAAAGAAGAGAGGGUAUUACUUACUCUUCAGGGUGCGCAUUAACCAAAGAAAUUGUGCCAUAUAAAGAAGCCUCCAUCAUUCCAGCUGAAGACAUGGUUGCAAUUGUGCUUGAUCUGAUGGAUUCGGUCUUAAAGCAGAAGUUGUCCAAAUCGCCGCUCAAUAUCAGAACCAGCAAUUCAGUUGUUACAUUCUUCCAUCGAAUGGUAUACCGGACGUCGUCUCUGAAGUGACGGGUUUGUCGGUUUCUGAGGGACAACGGUUUUGAGAGACGGAGAUAAACGUCAUUCUGUUGCAACGAAACCGCCACUAAUUGCCUGUACGGCAUUCAUCACAGUCUUGAAGAAUGUAUCGCAGAACGUUAUCCUUGUAGCCCACAAGGACGUAACCUUUGACGGUCCUCAGAUUGUCAAGGCCAUGCAAGCAGUCGGAUUACUUGAAAAUUUUGGGUCGGUCGUCAAAGGAUCUACCGAUACUCUACCUGUAUUCAAGAGCUCCAAAGAAUUAAUUUCCCGAAUAACGGAAAAGAGAAGCUUCAAAUUACCGGAUCUGGCUCACGAUUGUUUAGGACCUGGCAGUUCAAAAGGAGCACACAAUGCGAUUGUAGACGUCCAAAUACUUGAUGUAUUACUCAAGAAAUUUGUGAUAAUAGAGACAGAACUUAUCAGCCGUGCCGUAUCAUUCUCUUCAGUUGCAAAUGCUGAUCGUGAUAGAAAAGAAAGAAAGAUCAGGAUAUAUGAUAUGGCUGUAUCUUAAAGGGACCUGUAUCUGCCGCUAUCAUCACAAAAAUCGCUGGAGCUGGUCUCACUUUAACUCAGCUUCAGAGGACGUUCAACAUCAACGGCGAAAAUGUAAUAAUUUUGCUUCUCGGUAGAGAUAUUGGUGGAAAAUCUCGAAUAUCUGAAAAUCGAAUUGUCCUCCGUAAGCUUUGCAAUGCUCUCCGAGCUAUAUCUCAACAACGUGAUUUGACAACUGCAUAAAAUAAAUGCUGUUAUUUCUAAAAUAGUUUUAAUCCAAAAAUGAUGAUCUCAAUUCAUAUAUCAAUAUAAAGAAAAUAUUGUGCUGUGAGUAAAAAACAAACUUUUAUAGCUCAGUAGAGUGUGCAAUAUUUGCUGCUAACAUGUUUCAAUAAAUUUAAUAU